rnacentral:rRNA from 1 species
AUUGAACGCUGGCGGCAUGCCUUACACAUGCAAGUCGAACGGCAGCGGGGGAGAAGCUUGCUUUUCCUGCCGGCGAGUGGCGAACGGGUGAGUAAUACAUCGGAACGUGCCCUGUAGUGGGGGAUAACUAGUCGAAAGAUUAGCUAAUACCGCAUACGACCUGAGGGUGAAAGUGGGGGACCGCAAGGCCUCAUGCUAUAGGAGCGGCCGAUGUCUGAUUAGCUAGUUGGUGGGGUAAAGGCCUACCAAGGGGACGAUCGGGAGCUGGUCUGAGAGGACGAGCAGCCGCACUGGGACUGAGACACGGCCCAGACUCCUACGGGAGGCAGCAGUGGGGAAUUUUGGACAAUGGGCGAAAGCCUGAUCCAGCAAUGCCGCGUGUGUGAAGAAGGCCUUCGGGUUGUAAAGCACUUUUGUCCGGAAAGAAAUGGCUCUGGUUAAUUCCUGGGGUCGAUGACGGUACCGGAAGAAUAAGGACCGGCUAACUACGUGCCAGCAGCCGCCGUAA